rnacentral:misc_RNA from 1 species
GAUGAAGAACGUAGCGAAAUGCGAUAAGUAGUGUGAAUUGCAGAAUUCCGUGAAUCAUCGAAUCUUUGAACGCACAUUGCGCCUUCUGGUAUUCCGGAAGGCAUGCCUGUUCGAGAGUCAUUAACAACCGUUUCGAUCCCUUUCUUUCAGAAAUUACAAAGAGGAAAAGGGUUUGGUUAUGGUGGAGGAGGGAAAGGGAGCGUUUAGCCUGUAAAAAAAGAGGCUGUGUUCCGCCUCCCCCCCAAAAUUGUAAAGGCGGUCGUGUGCGCCCACGCAUCGAGGUGUUGUAAAAGGUGCCACGGCACUUUUCACCUGUGCAGUGCGAGAUUGGCCAGCCGGUUUAAAAACCCCUCCAAACAAUCAAAGGUUGACCUCGGAUCAGGUAGGGAUACCCGCUGAACUUAAGCAUAUCAAUAAGCGGAGGA